rnacentral:rRNA from 1 species
GAUGAACGCUGGCGGCGUGCUUAACACAUGCGAGUCGAACGAAGCACUUUAUUUGAUUUCCUUCGGGACUGAUUAUUUUGUGACUGAGUGGCGGACGGGUGAGUAACGCGUGGGUAACCUGCCUUGUACAGGGGGAUAACAGUUGGAAACGGCUGCUAAUACCGCAUAAGCGCACAGCAUCGCAUGAUGCAGUGUGAAAAACUCCGGUGGUAUAAGAUGGACCCGCGUUGGAUUAGCUAGUUGGUGAGGUAACGGCCCACCAAGGCGACGAUCCAUAGCCGACCUGGGAGGGGGACCGGCCACAUUGGGACUGAGACACGGCCCAAACUCCUACGGGAGGCAGCAGUGGGGAAUAUUGCACAAUGGGCGAAAGCCUGAUGCAGCGACGCCGCGUGAGCGAAGAAGUAUUUCGGUAUGUAAAGCUCUAUCAGCAGGGAAGAUAAUGACGGUACCUGACUAAGAAGCACCGGCUAAAUACGUG